GAUGAAGAACGCAGCGAAAUGCGAUACGUAAUGUGAAUUGCAGAAUUCAGUGAAUCAUCGAGUCUUUGAACGCACAUUGCGCCCCCUGGUAUUCCCGGGGGCAUGCCUGUCCGAGCGUCAUUGCUGCCCUCAAGCACGGCUUGUGUGUUGGGCCUCCGUCCUCCUCCCGGGGGACGGGCCCGAAAGGCAGCGGCGGCACCGCGUCCGGUCCUCGAGCGUAUGGGGCUUCGUCACCCGCUCUUGUAGGCCCGGCCGGCGCUUGCCGACACAUCAAUCUUUUUUCCAGGUUGACCUCGGAUCAGGUAGGGAUACCCGCUGAACUUAAGCAUAUCAAUAAGCGGAGGA
rnacentral:misc_RNA from 1 species